AAUGCUAGGUGAACAAAGUUGCCAACCACUGGGAGGAACAGCAGGAGAGGGAAGCGCUUUCAAUUUAGGGGAAAAACGGGGAGAGAAGAAGAAUCGGUCUAAUUAGGAACAGCUGUGGGAGGGAGAAGCGGCAACAGGAAUAGAAGAGAAGAGAAACAGUGCAGAUAAAUAAGGUGUUUACAGUGUUUAUACAUUCACCAUGUUACACUAAACCCGUGAGCAGAUUCAAGACGAUGUUUGGCAGUGUCUAAUGGAAGAGCGGGGAGCUCCCAGGACGCAUAAUGUGCUGCUGAAGGACCCGGAACGCCUGAGCAGGACAGUUUCCUUUUUUAUCCUAUGACGUUUCCGCUGGACCAGCUAGAUGAAAGUGACAUCUUUGUACAAAGUUGAUCUGCAGUCCACAGAGCGCUGCAGAGACGUCACUCAAAGACGUCUCGGUCCUGAGCAGCUAUCAGCCGAGACUCCCCGUGAUGCAAAGUGAAGAAACACUCUGGUUUCAGUCCCUUCUGCUCCAAGGCCUCUCUGAGACGGACUGGUGGCUCCAGGUAGUGCUGCAACAAGGCAAGGGCGAAUGUCCCCCAGUGUAUGGCGACGGACCAUUUGGCCUGAAGGUCCUGAUGAAUCUGAACAGCCUCCUCUGGAUCCACAUGCUGGCCCUGCAUCACAUCCCUGGAAAACCCAAGAGUCCUGCUUAAUGUUUGCCGCUUAUUAAAAUACUGAAACUCUAAA